rnacentral:rRNA from 1 species
UACGGAGGGUGCGAGCGUUAUCCGGAAUUACUGGGUUUAAAGGGUGCGUAGGCGGCUUGGUAAGUCAGGAGUGAAAGUUUGCGGCUCAACCGUAAAAUUGCUUUUGAUACUGCCGGGCUGGAAUCAGGAUGAGGUCAGCGGAAUGUGGCAUGUAGCGGUGAAAUGCAUAGAUAUGCCAUAGAACACCAAUUGCGAAGGCAGCUGGCUAGACCUGUAUUGACGCUGAGGCACGAAAGCGUGGGGAGCGAACAGG